GCCCGUGCCCAGCCCAGCGCCUUCCCAGGCCCUGCCCAGACACUGCUAAUCGCCUCUGUCGCCGCUUGAGUCCAGAAGCAACCUCAGAAUCCUUGUGGACACAGCUGACCUGCGGGCCACCGGGGAGGUCAGGGGAGGUGCACCAGGUGCUCACCAUAAACCUAGGAGUCUGCACGGGCAUCAGCCAGCGUCACCCUCCCAGAAGCAGCCCCUUCCUCCAUGGCUACUUCUGCAACUUUAAAUGAACCCGUUUUUAAAGAAAAGUUAAUAUUACAGCCACAAGCAGCAGACCGGCUCACCCACCUCAGCAAAGGGCGAUGGAGAAGCUAAAUCAGUGCUCACCCCAACACGUGACAACAGGAUGCUGGCAAACGCCACUGUCACCUCUUCACAGAAAGUGCAGGAAGUGGCCCAAGGUUCUCCAGCCCCAGCCCCCCAUGCUCUCCUCAGACCUUCCUGCAGUUCCAGGUGACCCGCGAACAAUGCAGGCUGGGGCUCCAUAGGUGCACUUACACACGGACGUCGUUCAACAGAUGUAUUGGAAAAGUUUUGGAAAUUUGCAACAAUUUGAAAAAAACAUUUUCUUUUCUCUAACUUUAUUGUUAUAAUACACACAACACACAAAACGUGUCGAUCAGCUGUUUAUGAGGAAGGUUUCCCAUCAGCAGUAGGCUGUCAGUAUGUAAGUUUUGGGGCAGGCAAAAGUUACACUUGGAUUUCUGACUGCACAGGGGUUUGGCACCCCAACCUCUGCAUUGUUCAAUAGGCAACUGUAUUUCAAAAUAAAAAGCUAA